rnacentral:rRNA from 1 species
CAGUCGCCGCGGUAAUACGAAGGGGGCUAGCGCUGUUCGGAAUUACUAGGCGUAAAGGGCGCGUAGGCGGCCAUUCAAGUUAGAUGUGAAAGCCCUGGGCUCAACCUAGGAAUUGCAUUUGAUACUGUUUGGCUUGAGUUCGGGAGAGGUGAGUGGAAUUCCCAGUGUAGAGGUGAAAUUCGUAGAUAUUGGGAAGAACACCAGUGGCGAAGGCGGCUCACUGGACCGACACUGACGCUGAGGCGCGAAAGCGUGGGGAGCAAACAGGAUUAGAUACCCCGGUAGUCCCUGUCUCUUAUAC